CAGAAGUGCGAAUGCUGACAUGAGUAACGACAAUGCGAGUGAAAAACUCGCACGCUGAAAGACCAAGGGUUCCAGUCCAACGUUAAUCGGGGCUGGGUGAGUCGACCCCUAAGGCGAGGCCGAAAGGCGUAGUCGAUGGGAAAUUGGUUAAUAUUCCAAUACUUCUAUGUAAUGCGAUGAGAGGACGGAGAAGGUUAAGUCAGCCUGGCGUUGGUUGUCCAGGUGGAAGGUUGUAGGCAUGUAUCUUAGGCAAAUCCGGGGUACUCUAUGCUGAGAACUGAUAGCAAGCUGUACUUGUACAGUGAAGUGGCUGAUACCAUGCUUCCAGGAAAAGUCUCUAAGCUUCAGUUACAUAGGAAUCGUACCCGAAACCGACACAGGUGGUCAGGUCGAGUAGACCAAAGCGCUUGAGAGAACUCUGCUGAAGGAACUAGGCAAAAUGGUACCGUAACUUCGGGAGAAGGUACGCUGUUGUUGGUGAUGGAACUCGCUUCCUGAGCUGACGACAGCCGCAGAAACCAGGCCGCUGCAACUGUUUA
rnacentral:rRNA from 11 species